UCAUAGAAGAAGAGGCCAAAGAUGGCCGAUACAACGUCAAGAGGCUACACGAUACAAACACGACGCCACACGGAGCACAACACAACCCACACCGCCAAGCAACAAGACUCGUCUUGCACAUCCUCCAACCAUGAACGACGAGGAGGGUGUACACCGAGCUUCAAAGCCGCGUCACGACCGAAAUGAGAACUUUAGACCUACUCCAAC
rnacentral:lncRNA from 1 species